rnacentral:rRNA from 1 species
AUUGAACGCUGGCGGCGUGCCUAAUACAUGCAAGUCGAGCGCAGGAAGCUGACGGAACUCUUCGGAGGGAAGGCAGUGGAAUGAGCGGCGGACGGGUGAGUAACACGUAAGGAACCUGCCUCAAGGAUUGGGAUAACUCCGAGAAAUCGGAGCUAAUACCGGAUAGUUCAACGGACCGCAUGGCCAGCUGACGAGAGGGUCUUCGGCGUCACCUUGAGAUGGACUUGCGGUGAAUUAGCUAGUUGGUGGGGUAACGGCCCACCAAGGCGACGAUGCAUAGCCGACCUGAGAGGGUGAUCGGCAACACUGGGACUGAGACACGGCCCAGACUCCUACGGGAGGCAGCAGUAGGGAAUCUUCCACAAUGGACGAAAGUCUGAUGGAGCAACGCCGCGUGAGUGAUGAAGGUUUUCGGAUCGUAAAACUCUGUUGUAAGGGAAGAACACGUACGAGAGGGAAUGCUCGUACCUUGACGGUACCUUACGAGAAAGCCACGGCUAACUACGUGCCAGCAGCCGCCGUAA